GACGAACGCUGGCGGCGUGCUUAACACAUGCAAGUCGAACGGAAAGGCCCUGCUUUUGUGGGGUGCUCGAGUGGCGAACGGGUGAGUAACACGUGAGUAACCUGCCCUUGACUUUGGUAUAACUUCAGGAAACUGGGGCUAAUACCGGAUAGGAUCUCCUGCUGCAUGGUGGGGGUUGGAAAGUUUCGGCGGUUGGGGAUGGACUCGCGGCUUAUCAGCUUGUUGGUGGGGUAGUGGCUUACCAAGGCUUUGACGGGUAGCCGGCCUGAGAGGGUGACCGGCCACAUUGGGACUGAGAUACGGCGCAGACUGCUACGGGAGGCAGCAGGGGGGAAUAUUGCACAAUGGGCGGAAGCCUGAUGAAGAAACGCCGCGUGCGGGAUGACGGCCUUCGGGUUGUAAACCGCUUUAGCCUGUGACGAAGCGUGAGUGACGGUAAUGGGUAAAGAAGCACCGGCUAACUACGUG
rnacentral:rRNA from 1 species